GAUGAUGUUUGUUGAAUUAUUGGU
rnacentral:siRNA from 1 species